AUUCCGGAAAGCAAGGGAACUAGGUCUACAACCAAGAAUCAACUACCCAGCAAAACUAACUAUAUUCUUACAGGGGAAAGUAUGGUCAUUCAACAAAAUAGAAGAAUUCCAAGAAUUCGUAAAGAAAAGACCAGACCUGAACAGAAAAUUUGAUGUCCAAGCACAGAACUCAAGAGAAUCAUCAAAAGGUCCCUGAAACCCUCUUAAGUUGUAUGUCUUUCAUUCACUCCAGCCAUCCACCCAUUCUUCAACAUGUAGAACAUCCAAGUAUGUCAGGGAGGAUUACAGAGUCUUCAAAACCUUCCUUAAACCAAAUGUUUCUUCCUAAGACUUUGUGACAUGACCUUCAAGCCCAGCACUAGAAAAUCAAGACUCAGCCUCCCAGGUUUUUUCUUUCUAGACAUAAAGGUCUAACCAUGAAGACCUAGACUGAAAUCCUACUUUUGAGUACAAGACUUACUCAGCUGUGUGAACAUGGGCCCAACUUCUUCAACAACUUCCUGUCUCAUGCCCACCUGUUUUAUUUAUUUAUUUUUUGGGUUGGACCUAAGAUUUUAUUUGUAUAUGGACCUCUCAGGGAAGAAACAGGCAUCUUUGAAGAACACAUAUGAAGAGAGCUUCAACCCUUUCCUGUUUUCCCUGAGUGUCUUGUUCUUUACAGAUAGACAAAAUGGGAUGGUGACUGCAAAGAUCAGACUUGAAGUCAGGAGACUAAGGUACCCCUUCCUCUGUCCCAGGGAAGACAUGAAGAUGAAAGAGAAAAUAGUCCCAAAUUCUAUGCCAUAAAGAACAUCACCCUGGGAGUCCAUAGAAUAAUUCCAGCAAUUCUAGUGUUGCUCCGAAUAUUUUUGGAACUCUUCUUUCAGAAUGUGAACAUCUGGAACAUUCAAACUGAUGUUACUCCACAACCUUGGGGGUGGUCCGUGGAUGCACUCAUGGAUCUACAUUCAGAUGCAUAUGGAUCACAUGCUCUGCCAAGAGCCUGCUCCAGACCAAAAUGAAGCCUUGCCUGGCACCCUACAGAGAAUGAAAAGAUCCAUAUAUCUUAGGACCCAGAACCCUCUCUAUAGUGAAGGCUGCAUAGAAACACAUGAGAAUAUGUGCUUGUAUGAUUCCUUUAAUACAGGAUUAAAAGAACCUCUCUUAAGGUCAUGACUAAGAAAAAAUAGGCCUUCUUUCCCUCCUUCCCUCCCUCCCUCCUUUCAUCUUCUCUUUUUCUUCCCUCCCUGCUUUCCUCCUUCCCUUCCUUUAUCCCUCCCUCCCUCCCCCAAACCCCCUUCCUUCCCCUCCCAUCUCCUUUCUUCCCUCUCUCCUUCCCUCCUUCCUUCCUUCCUUCCUUCCUUCCUUCCUUCCUUCCUUCCUUCCUUCCUUCCUUCCUUCCUUCCUUCCUUCCUUCCUUCUUUCUUUUUCUUUCUUUGGAUCUCCUUAUCUAAGAUUAGAAGUGGUCACCCAAUGGUCACCCAAUGGACAUCAGAGAUUAUAGGUAUGUGCCACCACACUUGCCUUCUUUCUUCCUGUUUCCUUGAUUCCUAUUUCAGAGUCCAUUGGGUUUCUCAUUUUCACUUAAAAGAACAUGAUCAGAGUCUCAAUGAAUAGUCAACAAGCAUUAGACACAAGUUAACUUGCUUAGCGUGUUCUAUCUCGAAACACAGCUGUUGGAAGACAAUACUAGGACUGUGAUGGCAAUCCCAAACAUCAGCAUCUUACCUCCAAACUGUGCUAGAAUUUUCCACUUGGGGGUGGAGUGCUUUUCCAAGGUUGGUCUUGGCCUUGAGCUGUGUUGAGACAAUAUCAAUAAGUAACAGGUUGGGGACUGUUCCUGUACUUCUUUAUUUGCAUCAUGAAUAAAUGAUAUUUGUACUCAUGAUAAGAACUCUGA
rnacentral:lncRNA from 1 species